AUGAAAUGAAUUAAUGCAUGCAAAAUCUCCAGCACAGGGUCUGGAUCUUAGUAAGGUCUUAAUAAAAAUAAACUAUGGUGAUUAUUAUCAUUCUCUACCCAGUUCCCUCUUCUUGGGCAGUUAACCUGUCAGGAUCUAAUUAAGAAGUAGAAACUGCACAGGAGAACUUAAAACAGAAGGAAUUUAAUGCAGGGAAUUGGCUACGCUGCAUUAGGUGAUAGGAACGCUGAGAAAUCAAACAGGAAAUUAACCCAAAGAUUAGCAACAGCAAGAAGGCACUACCACUGUUCAGUGAAAGGAGAGAGGGAAAUGGCAGUGGAAGCGGAGCCUAAGGGCAGGGUCACAAGGUGAAGCCAGAAUCGUGGUGGAUCUUUCCUAUGGGAGCCACAAUCAUGGAGGAAGUUCAGCUACUUCUGGAGAUGCCAUUAGAGGUGAAAAGCGUAGGGAGAAAGACUCUGGAUUCUCCCUUUCUCCCACCUCAUAUCUCUUUCCAGACCCUCUCAUUGGCCAGACCCAUCUAGGGGUCUGGGAAACAGAGUCUUCAGGGAUCAGUUUUGGGGUACAGAGCAGAGAAGGGGAAGAGGAUCUGGAUGGAAUGGAUCCAAUGGAAACAGAUCAAGGACUAGCACAGUCUACCCCUUUUACUAUGCAGUAUCCAUUCUCACUGACCCCCCCCCCCCCACCAUAUCUCACAACUUCAUAUUUGAAAUGCCUAUCUCCUACACUUGGUUUCUCCUUCCCUCCAAUGAGAGGACUUGUAAAUCCCACUAGUCAUCAUAGUCACGUUGGGUCUAAGAUCUCUGGGAGCAUUUCAGUCCUCCCCAUUUAGUUUGGAUGUGGCUUGUCAUGGCCUAGUGAAUUCAUUGUGAAACUAAGCACCAACAACAUUCCUCAUAUAAAAUACCAGGGGAAGAGGGAUGGGGGGAAAGAGAUAUCAAUGGUUAAUACAAACCAAAAAGUAUGUACUGAUCUUUCAGUUCUCAUUUCUAUACCUGGUCACAAGGCCAUCACCGAUCACAUACCAUUUUGUCAUUGAUAUUUUAUUCCACCACCCAUUCCAUCUUACCCUGGCCCUCAGUGCCUUCGCUAGUUGUGAUUAUUUACUUCGUGAAAAAUACCUUCACACAUGAAUGACCUGAGUCCUUGUUAUUCCGUGGCUUUAUUGGGUAACUUCAGUCUUUAAUUGGCCUUUAGUAUUGGACAUGCAAUUAUUAUUCUGUAACUGUUUCUCUAUUCUAAGUGGCACCCCAGUGACGCCCCUUGGUUGCAGAUAUGAUUCUUCCUACACCAGAUGUGUAGUGGAAAAAUUAUUUUCCCUUCACAAUUGGUACCAACCACCCCACACAGUGCAGUUCUCCUUUCUCAGCCUGUCAAUUCAACUCAACUUCAAGUUUAUGGAACCAUUAUGGAAUCUCCUGAAGGGAAAAUACUUUUCUUGAGGGCCUAGAUCAUGAAGCCAGCAGAACCCAAGGUUUGGGAACGGGAAACAAGAGAUCUUCAGGUCUAAAGUGAGACCUGAAAUAUUGGCUAAAAUAUUGGCUAAAGUGAGAGGGGCCACUCCCAGUUUUACAUCUCAGUUCCCAGACCCUUUAGGGCAGCAUUUCAACCUUGCAGGUGCUGUCUCUGAGUAGACACCAAAAAAAUAGUCUUAAGCAAGUGAUUCUCUGUUUAACAGGGCACCUGCUUCUGGGUGAUGGCCUGUGUGAUCAAACCAGUGAAUUUCAUCGACAAGAGCCUAUUGAUGCAUUUCUACUGCUAUGAACAGGACCCAGAGAUGGGGCAGACCAUUGCCUGAAAUAUUUGCAGCACAGUGGAAAAGAAGCCUACCGGGGACCGAGGGAGAGAUGAGAGAUAGAACUACCAUUGCCAGUUCGGUGUGGAUUCACUCAGGACUUCAUGCGUUUAUGUACAAGUAGGUACAUACACAAAUACACAGGGGUUUGGUUUUUUUUGAGUUCCUGUAUCUUUUAUAUAAAUGAUUCUGAACAUUUCGUCAACUCUUAUUUUUACUCCAAUA